UACGUAGGCGGAAAAUUAAGUCAGUAGUGAAAUCCUGCAGCUUAACUGUAGAACUGUUAUUGAUACUGGUUUUCUUGAAUAUAGUUGAGGUAGACGGAAUGUGUAAUGUAGCGGUGAAAUGCUUAGAUAUUACACAGAACACCGAUUGCGAAGGCAGCUUACUAAGCUAUGAUUGACGCUGAGGUACGAAAGCGUGGGGAGCGAACAGGAUUAGAUACCCUGGUAGUC
rnacentral:rRNA from 1 species